UGCUUUUUGGACAUUUGUUGAAUUGUUCGGAAGACAAGAAACCAUCAUUUGAGGGACAACAGUUGCAUACUCCAAUCCAACCAAACAAAUUUGAUUGUGGAGUAAUUGUUUUGAAAAUUAUGGAGUUGUGGGAUGGCAUUGACAAAUAUGAAAGAAACACAAUGCCCAGUUACACAACUGAAGAACUACAACAAUUUAGGGAGCAAUAUGUUUGUCAAUGGAUUUUGGAUGUGGACAACAUGCAGAGGAAUCAAGUGUUGGAAGAUUUAGGCCUUUUGUAGAAUGUUGGGGAUUAUUGAUGAAAGAAUAGUUGUUGUUACAUUUCAUAUUUAUGUAUUGGUUGCACAUCCAAUCUGAUUUCAGAAAUUGUUGACAAAUAUAUUUGGUAGUUAAAAUUCA